GACGAACGCUGGCGGCGUGCUUAACACAUGCAAGUCGAACGGAAAGGCCCUGCUUUUGUGGGGUGCUCGAGUGGCGAACGGGUGAGUAACACGUGAGUAACCUGCCCUUGACUUUGGGAUAACUUCAGGAAACUGGGGCUAAUACCGGAUAGGAGCUCCCGCUGCAUGGUGGGGGUUGGAAAGUUUCGGCGGUUGGGGAUGGACUCGCGGCUUAUCAGCUUGUUGGUGGGGUAGUGGCUUACCAAGGCUUUGACGGGUAGCCGGCCUGAGAGGGUGACCGGCCACAUUGGGACUGAGAUACGGCCCAGACUCCUACGGGAGGCAGCAGGGGGGAGUAUUGCACAGUGGGCGGAAGCCUGAUGCAGCAGCGCCGCGUGCGGGAUGACGGCCUUCGGGUUGAGAACCGCUUUCGCCUGUUACGAAGCGUGAGUGACGGUAAUGGGUAAAGAAGCACCGGCUAACUACGUG
rnacentral:rRNA from 1 species